rnacentral:rRNA from 1 species
AUUGAACGCUGGCGGCAGGCCUAACACAUGCAAGUCGAACGGUAACAGGAAACAGCUUGCUGUUUCGCUGACGAGUGGCGGACGGGUGAGUAAUGUCUGGGAAACUGCCUGAUGGAGGGGGAUAACUACUGGAAACGGUAGCUAAUACCGCAUAACGUCGCAAGACCAAAGAGGGGGACCUUCGGGCCUCUUGCCAUCGGAUGUGCCCAGAUGGGAUUAGCUUGUUGGUGGGGUAACGGCUCACCAAGGCGACGAUCCCUAGCUGGUCUGAGAGGAUGACCAGCCACACUGGAACUGAGACACGGUCCAGACUCCUACGGGAGGCAGCAGUGGGGAAUAUUGCACAAUGGGCGCAAGCCUGAUGCAGCCAUGCCGCGUGUAUGAAGAAGGCCUUCGGGUUGUAAAGUACUUUCAGCGGGGAGGAAGGGAGUAAAGUUAAUACCUUUGCUCAUUGACGUUACCCGCAGAAGAAGCACCGGCUAACUCCGUGCCAGCAGCCGCGGUAAUACGGAGGGUGCAAGCGUUAAUCGGAAUUACUGGGCGUAAAGCGCACGCAGGCGGUUUGUUAAGUCAGAUGUGAAAUCCCCGGGCUCAACCUGGGAACUGCAUCUGAUACUGGCAAGCUUGAGUCUCGUAGAGGGGGGUAGAAUUCCAGGUGUAGCGGUGAAAUGCGUAGAGAUCUGGAGGAAUACCGGUGGCGAAGGCGGCCCCCUGGACGAAGACUGACGCUCAGGUGCGAAAGCGCGGGGAGCAAACAGGAUUAGAUACCCUGGUAGUCCACGCCGUAAACGAUGUCGACUUGGAGGUUGUGCCCUUGAGGCGUGGCUUCCGGAGCUAACGCGUUAAGUCGACCGCCUGGGGGAGUACGGCCGCAAGGUUAAAACUCAAAUGAAUUGACGGGGGCCCGCACAAGCGGUGGAGCAUGUGGUUUAAUUCGAUGCAACGCGAAGAACCUUACCUGGUCUUGACAUCCACAGAACUUUCCAGAGAUGGAUUGGUGCCUUCGGGAACUGUGAGACAGGUGCUGCAUGGCUGUCGUCAGCUCGUGUUGUGAAAUGUUGGGUUAAGUCCCGCAACGAGCGCAACCCUUAUCCUUUGUUGCCAGCGGUCCGGCCGGGAACUCAAAGGAGACUGCCAGUGAUAAACUGGAGGAAGGUGGGGAUGACGUCAAGUCAUCAUGGCCCUUACGACCAGGGCUACACACGUGCUACAAUGGCGCAUACAAAGAGAAGCGACCUCGCGAGAGCAAGCGGACCUCAUAAAGUGCGUCGUAGUCCGGAUUGGAGUCUGCAACUCGACUCCAUGAAGUCGGAAUCGCUAGUAAUCGUGGAUCAGAAUGCCACGGUGAAUACGUUCCCGGGCCU